rnacentral:rRNA from 1 species
UACAGAGGGGGCAAGCGUUGUUCGGAUUUACUGGGCGUAAAGCGCACGUAGGCGGAUCGUUAAGUGAGGGGUGAAAUCCCAGGGCUCAACCCUGGAACUGCCUUUCAUACUGGCGAUCUUGAGUCCGGAAGAGGUGAGUGGAACUCCUAGUGUAGAGGUGGAAUUCGUAGAUAUUAGGAAGAACACCAGUGGCGAAGGCGGCUCACUGGUCCGGUACUGACGCUGAGGUGCGAAAGCGUGGGGAGCAAACAGG